rnacentral:lncRNA from 1 species
AUUUAUGCAAACUGUAGAAGGAAAGCCUGUCGGGCUUAUAGACUUCUUUUGAUUUUAAAAAGGAAAAUUUUCUACAUAGCAAAUAGUACUUCUGAAUUUUUAUUUUAUUUUAAGGUAAAUACUUCUGAAGUUAAAGAAAACAAAGAUAUCCACAUUUUGAAGCAAUAAAGAAGUUUUUUCAUGCAAAAGGCUUGCAUGUGCACGCCGAUAAACAAAAAAAAACAACUCAUCCCAUUUUGAAGCAACAAUUUUUUUUGUAUAGAAUAUUUCACAGAAUGCGUGGAAGUAUCUCAACAUUGUUUUCGUUUAGUUGUUUGCCGGCUAUGUAUUAUUAUAUUAUUAAUGAUAAUCACCCUAUAAGGGUCUCAGCCUCUAGGGUUCUACCUCGUAGAAUCUUUGGAUUACACUUCUCCUGCUUUAUCAGUUUGAGGGUGCAAAAAAUCUAUUUCACAAAUAAGUUUAACAAAUUUAUGAUCAAAUUAUCUUUGAACAAUAUACUGUUUUAUCUCAUUCCAAUUUUCCAAAAUGCCAUUACUAACUAGUAACUUGUAAAUAUAGUAAAAUCACAGUUUUUCACACGCUGAGAAAAAACAAAUUGAAAUUUAUAAUAUAAAAAUUAAUAUAUGAAUUUAAAAAGAAUACUAUUAUUUUCACCUUCAUUACAUUUUCUUUUCUUCACACGACUGCACAUUUGUCUUCUAUCCAUAUAAUUGUUAAGGAAAGUGUCAUGGGAAUUAAAAAAAAAAAACAGUGAGAAUAAUAACAGUAUUUAUUGAAAAAUAUCUGGACAGAAAGGGAGAAAUAAUUGGAAAAAGUACCUAGCUCAAAAGCAGAAACGGAUUAAAGUGCAGUUUUAACGGAGAGUGUGUGCGGAAGUCUGGAAGAUCGCAAAGACGCCAAAAAUGGCAAACAUGGUUUGGCACGAAGACAAAUUCACAUAGAAAACGAAAGAGAGUAUAAUUCUGAGCAUCAACUUCCACUCGUCAAAUCAGCAUUAUUGCGCCGAGUGGCAAUGGCAACGCUAAGCGACAAGGUUCCGAAGGUUAAAUACUUGCUCCUUGGAACUGUGACUGUGACUUUGGUGUCUUGGUGACUCUCAAGGUCCCCCACCCA